UACGGGGGGGGCAAGCGUUGUUCGGAGUUACUGGGCGUAAAGGGUGCGUAGGCGGUCCUAUAAGUAUGGUGUGAAAUCUCCCGGCUUAACUGGGAGGGUGCGCUAUAGACUGUGGGACUAGAGUGUGGGAGAGGAAAGUGGAAUUCCUGGUGUAGCGGUGAAAUGCGUAGAUAUCAGGAGGAACACCUGUGGCGAAAGCGGCGCACUGGACCACAACUGACGCUGAGGCGCGAAAGCUAGGGGAGCAAACAGG
rnacentral:rRNA from 1 species